AAUGAACGCUGGCGGCGUGCCUAACACAUGCAAGUCGGAUGUGCCCGCAAGGGUGCAUGGCAGACGGGUGAGUAACGCGUGGGGAAUCUACCUUUUAGUGGGGAAUAACGCUCCGAAAGGAGUGGUAAUACCGCAUGUGACCAUUGGCUGGGAUGUUGAUGGUGAAACCCUGGGACCUUCGGGCCAGGGGCUAAAAGAGGAUCCUGCGUCUGAUUAGCUAGUUGGCGGGGUAACGGCCCACCAAGGCGACGAUCAGUAGCCGGCCUGAGAGGGUGAUCGGCCACACUGGAACUGAGACACGGUCCAGACUCCUACGGGAGGCAGCAGUGGGGAAUUUUGCGCAAUGGACGAAAGUCUGACGCAGCAACGCCGCGUGGGUGAUGAAGGUCUUCGGAUUGUAAAACCCUGUCGCCAGGGACGAAGGGUGAGGUGUGAAUAGCGCCUUACUUUGACGGUACCUGGAAAGGAAGCCCCGGCUAACUCUGUGCCAGCAG
rnacentral:rRNA from 1 species